ensembl:lncRNA novel transcript
AUUUAAAUAGAAUCUGAGGAAAGGAUUUGAUGAACCAAAAAGCUAACUGAAAGUAUUGAGAGAUCAAGAGUGGAGAAUAUAUGAAGAAACACAAAUUAUUUGCUCUACCAUUUUGCAAAUUGUCUAACCCUGUACUUAAGGGAGAGAAGGCAAAGAGGGUCUGACAUCAUUUUUUUUCCAUUAAGCAGGUGCAAAUCUCUCUGGGUCCUACCUGGAAUAUCAUGUUGUAUUUAGUUGUCUUUGGCUGUGACAGUUUUUCUUGCUUUUGAAGACCUUGACAGUUUUGAGGAGUUCCAGUCAGAUAUUUUUAGAAUACUCUAUUAGAAUUUGUCUGAUUUUUUUUCUCAUGACAUAAGAUUGAGGUUAUGGGUUAUUCACAGAGGUGAAGUGCCAUUUUCAUCACAUCACAUCACGUCGCACUAUCAGCAUGAUUUAUGACUGCUGACGUUCGCCUUGAUCACCUGGCUGAAGUAAUGUUUGUUAGGUUUUUCUACAGUAAAUCUACCCCACCCUCUAAGGAAGUCACUAUAACCAGUCCACACUUAAGGUCACAUAUUAUUUACUUAAGACACGUAUAUCUGAUGAACCUGCUAACAUCCAGAUUAUAGUUUUCAGAGACAAAUAUUAAACGGAUGGAUUUGAAGAAAUUCAGAAAUUAAGAAAAGCUUGGAGCUUCUAGUCUACCUGGGUUCCUGAGGACUGGACAUUGUAAAUUUUCUGAGGACCCUGAUGCCUUAGGAGUGUGGAAUUAUCAAGAGAAAGUGUGGCAUGGGUGGGACGUUAAAGACACCAUGGUGUUUCACUUGGGAAUAUGGGACAAGGCUCUGGCCAAAGGCACAAAGCACCCCAAGAGACAGAACCUGGUGGAAUGUUAAUAAAAUAAAUAACACAACAAUGAAACAACUAGGAAAAAAGCUUGUAAGCAUAUUGUUGGGUGAAAGGAGUAUAAAUUCUAGUUUAUGUUUUGGCUAGAAGGGGGCAGGGUAAAAAAGUGAUUCUUAUUUUCCCCAUAUUUCUCUUUUUUCUAAUUAGUUACAGAUGUUUUUAUUAUAACAUUUAAGUAAUUAAGGAGAACUCUUUGAGUACAGAAAAUAGUCAAAUGAGGCAAUUUGCUCCAAUUUUAAAAAGAGUUUGGGAAGUGGAAGUCAGAAAAUGUGGAUUUCAGCUUUGCAUUUUAUUGGUGAGCUUCCUUUUAAACUUCUGUCAUCCCAUGUGUGAAAUAAUAGUAAAAUCUAUCUUAUAUUUUUUGGUAUAGUUUUGGAUGUACUCAAAUAAAAUAAUACACAA